rnacentral:rRNA from 1 species
GCUGUUAAGGGUUCGUAGUUGGGGCAAGAGACUUAGGUUAGGUUGGUGUGCUCCUGAGUCAUUGCCAACUCUCGCCUUGCUCGUUAGAUACGGAACAGAGCUCCUGCGGACACCUUCUCGGGGGUUGUGCAAUUCCGCAUAAAUCAUGCAGGGAGCAUCCGUAGCAUCACUGUGAACAAACAGCGUGUCCAAAGCAGUCUCUUAUGACUGAAUGCAAAAGCAUGGAAUGACAAGGGUCGACCAUUGGUGCCAUCCCCCUUUGGUUUAUGAGGCCCAAGGAGAGACGAGUUUGCGUGUCUAACGCGUUCUGAUCCGGAUCCUGAAGGCUGAAGGCGCGCAAGGCCGCUGCUCGACUGGGUCAACAGGGGCUGUCGGGGGAAGACGUGUGGGAAUGCGAGAGGUAAAAUUCUGUGCCAUUCCCAGACGAACCGAUGCGAAGGCUUCUUCCAAGUAUGCCUUCAUUAAUCAAGAACCAAGCGUGGAGAUCGAAGAUGAUUAGAUACCAUUGUAGUCC